rnacentral:rRNA from 1 species
UACGGAGGGGGCAAGCGUUAUUCGGAAUCAUUGGGCGUAAAGGGCGCGUAGGCGGCUUCAUAAGUCUUGGGUGAAAGCCCUCGGCUCAACCGAGGAAUUGCCUUGGAUACUGUGAAGCUCGAGGCUGGAAGAGGGCAGUGGAAUUCCCGGUGUAGCGGUGAAAUGCGUAGAUAUUGGGAGGAACACCGGUGGCGAAGGCGGCCCUCUGGACCGGUACUGACGCUGAUGCGCGAAAGCGUGGGGAGCAAACGGG